GUUAAUAGAAUCCAUCGGGAGAUGGAGGUUGAGGAGAUAUUAGAGGCAACUCAACUGUUUCAAAAUUCUUCAAGUAGGGAAAACAAGGUUUUAUUAGCGAAUUUAGAAGCCAUUUCAGGUGACAUUGACAUAUCUUCUGUCCACCGGUUUUUUUUAUGGAGGCAGUGAAGGAAUAUGAGAAAAAUGUUGUUAUCAAUCA
rnacentral:lncRNA from 1 species